AAUCCUCAACCCCAUCCGUCGGUCAGGGCUUGGACUUUGGAGCGUGCUGGCGAAGGUCGGCUCCUCUUUAAAUGCAUCAGCGGAGAAAAACAAACCUUUUUUCCCCCUUCAGCAUGAUAACUGCGUUGCGCUGUGGUCGCGAAAGGGUCCGCUCAUAAUCAUCCUCGGACAAACACCGAAUCUG
rnacentral:misc_RNA from 1 species